rnacentral:rRNA from 1 species
UACGUAGGGUGCGAGCGUUGUCCGGAAUUAUUGGGCGUAAAGAGCUCGUAGGCGGUGUGUCACGUCGGCCGUGAAAACCUGCAGCUUAACUGUGGCGUGCGGUCGAUACGGGCAUCACUGGAGUUCGGCAGGGGAGACUGGAAUUCCUGGUGUAGCGGUGAAAUGCGCAGAUAUCAGGAGGAACACCGGUGGCGAAGGCGGUCUCUGGA